GUUCCGGAUGUAGUCGUUGAUUUCCGUAUCCGGCCUCGGGCACGUCCGUUCAUGAUCGGAGUCUUUCGGAUAGACUCGGGCUCUGUAGCGUAGUCUAAAGCGAAGAGGAGCGUUUAUGCUUCUAGCAGGCUCAGAUCUGAAACUCUCAUCCCCUGGAACCACCCACACUGCCCUAUUGAACAAGACUCAGAGUGGAAGGUGAAGCAGAACCGCCAGGACCUGCCUCAGCUAAUCACUGCUUCCUGAGCAGCUGCCCCCUGGAUGCUGGAGAUUACCUGUUUCUUGGAUCCUGAGAGAUUCUUUUCGGUGUUUGACCUGUACUUUCAGCCAAGCCAGCUCACUGUAGCAAAGCCUCCAUUCAGAUUGUGAUAGCAGCAUCAGCCAACACGACAGAGAAUGGAUGACUCAGUGCAGGGUAAUGUUCUGGACAAGAAGACACCCAUGGAGAGGACUAGGCAGUGCCUUGGAGCCCACUUUACUACCUGCUUUCUGCUCUACAGCCUGCCUGCCCCAGCAGUGACAGGUUCCUCAAACACCUGACCACUAAGAACACCCCGGACUGUGGUGUUCCAGAGCCCCUGCAUCUACAGGCUCACUGCAGCACAUUUCUGUCCACAGGCGGCUUUUCAACAGCCUAAGUCUGGUCUAAGCCACCCCCACCCCACCCCACCCCUCCAGCUACCAAAACCUAGACUUCAGCUUCACAGGUAAUUGAACAACAGAAGAAAUGCUACUGGGAGUGCCUGAUGAGUCAGUAGCCUCUGCUUGACCAUCCAAGAACGCAGCUCCUUUACACGUGCCCAGACACUGCAUCGCUUACCAUCCUUUUGUGUUCGUUCACGGAAACUCAGUGAAGUGCUUGAAAAAAAAUCAUGCCUGUCUGUGAACAGUACCUUAAAUGAAACAAUAUUUGGACAGUCCAAAUAUGAUUGAUGCAAAUGACUGUUAACAUAUGCACUAUACAAUAGUUGACUUUUUCAACACCACAGAUUUCCAACGGAAGUACAUGGUACUUUCUACAUUCGUAAAAUGCACAAUUAUUGGCUUGAAAAACCAGCAGAUGGUGAUACAUAAUUUCUACUAUUCAAUACAAAGACAGCACCUUACAGGAUCCCAUAAGGACCACUAGUGGGGGCCCAUCUCUCAUCACUGCAAGAAAAUAAUUAUUCAAAUAAACCUUACUGAUGUCUAGAAUAAAGUAGUUAUGGUAGAGCAACUAUACAGUAUUAUCCGGGGCAUUAAAAACCAUACAUUUGGCUUUUCUAAGAGCCAAAAAAGAGGACUUAUUACUAGGGUUGGAAAACACACUUGAGGUUCCUUUUAUGUUGUUGGAAUUUCCUGGAAUAGAACACAGAUGUUUGUGGUCACAGCACUCAUGGGGAAUUCUCUGUACUACGUUCACUUGAGUGUACCAAUGAGUAGUCCUGCCAGUGCACUACAUGCGUAUUUGCAUCUGUACUCCUGCUUGUGCACCACAGCCUUACAAGCUGUGUUUGCAUGUGCUCAUUUCCAGCAGGAGUGGGAAACACAUGGGUCACGUGUAGCCCACCAUCACUUUGUGCACAGGGCCCUGAGCCCCACUACUAAAAUGUUGCAGGAAGCACAUGCCAUUUUCUAGCAAAUCAGGCUUCCGUCAACUUGAUGGGAUUGUGGUGGCAGACACUUCCAUUGGGGAAGGGACAGGGGGUGCAGCCCCAUAAACUGCCCACUCAAUUUACCUCCAUUUGGUCACAUGCUAGUGUGAUUUGCUCCAUUAAUCUCCCCGGAAAUCAUUCCUUUUCUCAAACCCAUCUGAGAGAAAGAGGCCUAAAGGCAGUGGAUGAAUAUGGCAGACAACAAUCUUUAGCUGCCACAAAACUCAAACUCUUCUUAAAAGAAAUUAGCAUGCUAGCACACAGAAAGUCCUCAUUAACAAAAAUCAUGUCGGAAGAGCUAUUAAAAAGAAGGCCUUCUUGUAGGAGGUACAAGAACUUGGAAGCCAAACAGACAAUGUGGAUUGCACAUUACUGAGGAUACAGGGUAAACUUCAAGCUCUUCUUCAUUAGCUGGCUGGCAGGACUGUAACACAAGUCUAAAUCAAUUCUGUUCUCCUGUUACACUGUACAACUUUGUUAACAUAAAGGAUGCUAAUAGACUUUU